rnacentral:rRNA from 1 species
ACGAACGCUGGCGGCGUGCUUAACACAUGCAAGUCGAACGCUGAAGACCUGGCUUUUGUUGGGUUGGAUGAGUGGCGAACGGGUGAGUAACACGUGAGUAACCUGCCCCCUUCUUUGGGAUAACGCCCGGAAACGGGUGCUAAUACUGGAUAUUCACUGGCCUUCGCAUGGGGGUUGGUGGAAAGGUUUGUUCUGGUGGGGGAUGGGCUCGCGGCCUAUCAGCUUGUUGGUGGGGUGAUGGCCUACCAAGGCUUUGACGGGUAGCCGGCCUGAGAGGGUGACCGGUCACAUUGGGACUGAGAUACGGCCCAGACUCCUACGGGAGGCAGCAGUGGGGAAUAUUGCACAAUGGGCGAAAGCCUGAUGCAGCGACGCCGCGUGAGGGAUGGAGGCCUUCGGGUUGUAAACCUCUUUCGCUCAUGGUCAAGCCGCAACUGUGGGUUGUGGUGAGGGUAGUGGGUAAAGAAGCGCCGGCUAACUACGUGCCAGCAGCCGCGGUAAUA